GCCGGGUCCGCUAGGCUCCACGCGAUGUCGGCGGGCGGCCGCGAGGCGGCAGCGCAGCGCAAGGUCACGUUGCUGCCCGCGGUGACAAAGCGGGCAGGCGUGGCGUCGCGGUCCGAGGAGACGGUGAUGAUCGGCGGAAGCCCUCUUCUGCCAUCCAGGGACCCCACAGCACCGUGACUUGCCCAAAGCCUGGCAGAGCAGAGCAGCCCCUGCCGCCUGCACUCCUGACGCCAGGGCCCACUUACCAUACACACCCACCGUGAACUCGCGAGUCUGCCGGGGAACCCCUGCCCGGAUGACCUCAGCCGUGUAGACCCCUGCAUCGUCCAGCUGGGCAGAGGCGAGCUCCAGAACCCCCCGGGCCUGAUCAAAUCGCAGGCGGUCUCGGGACUGAUCCGGAAGUUUCCAGCUGGGAGGUUUGAUGGAGGGAACUUCUGCACCCAGCCCCUGGGAAGAGCUCUUUGAGUCCGAAGAGAAGGCAGAGGAGAAGUUGGUUUGCUGAAGUCCAGAAGAGGCUCUGAGGGACACUCCCUCAUGGAACCCAGCCGCCACACUGGGAGGAAACUCAGCAGUCCCAUGGAGGGGAAUCACGGCCCCUGGUCAGCAGCCCCAGCCAGCUUGCUGGCCAUGUGGGCGAGCCUUCUUGGAAGUCAAUCCCCUGGCCCCAUUUGAGGCACCUGAACUGAUCCUGCACGGAGAGACAAGCUGCCCCUGCUGAGCCCUGCCCAGAUUCCAGACUUAAGAGCAUAAUAAACAA